rnacentral:rRNA from 1 species
CACGUAGGGCGCAAGCGUUGUCCGGAAUUAUUGGGCGUAAAGAGCUCGUAGGUGGUUUGUUACGUCCGCUGUGAAACCCUAGGGCUUAACCCUGGGCUUGCAGUGGAUACGGGCAGACUAGAGGUAGGUAGGGGAGAAUGGAAUUCCUGGUGUAGCGGUGAAAUGCGCAGAUAUCAGGAGGAACACCGGUGGCGAAGGCGGUUCUCUGGGCCUUACCUGACACUGAGGAGCGAAAGCGUGGGGGAGCGAACAGGAUUAGAUACCCCCUG